GACGAACGCUGGCGGCGUGCCUAAUACAUGCAAGUCGAACGCAGUGGGGACGGGUGAGUAACACGUGGGUAACCUCCCAUCAGAGGGGAUAACACUUGGAAACAGGUGCUAAACCGAUACUGAUGGAUGGACCCGCGGUGCAUUAGCUAGUUGGUGUGGUAACGGCUAACCAAGGCCACGAUGCAUAGCGGACCUGAGGGAGUGAACAGCCACAAAGGGACUGAGACGCGGCCCAAGCACCGACAGGAGGCAGCGGUAAGGAAUCUUCGGCAAUGGACGAGAGGCUGACCGAGCAACGCCGCGUGAGAGAAGAAGGUUUUCAGAUCGUAAAACGAUGUUGUUAGAGAAGCGGUAUCUAACCAGAAAGCCACGGCUAACUACGUGCCAGCAGCCGCGGUAAGUC
rnacentral:rRNA from 1 species